UUCCUGCUGCUUAAAUCCCUACACUUCGCUAGCCACUAUUUCCUGUGAUAUUUUAAAUCAUCUAGUUGUGAUAGUUUUGUAUUUUCUCUUGCCACUCAUGAGUUCGCUUUUUUAAAGAAAGAAAUAAAUAAUACUGCCCUUUAAAAUUAGUUCCUUGGUUUCACUCUGCCAUCUAUCACUUUGCAGUAGUUUGCAUCGUUCACAGUGUUUGUCAGGUGCUAUCUUCCACAGACUGUUUUCUGCCCCCCAAAAAUAUGGAACUAAUUCUUAAAAGUUUUGGAACUCCAUGAACAUCAUAACGUUUGUGCAGACUUGAGAUUCAGGUUUGUGUAUGUGUGUUUAGCAGUUAAUCAACGAACUUCACUUAGGAAACUUUGUGGAAGCAAUGUGGCCCUGGGCGUUGUGCAGAUACAACAGGAACAGAGCAUGAUCAUUAUGCUGUCUCAGAAAGAACACUUCAUCAUGAGAUGCCCUUAACACUUAUUUACAAGGCAAAGCUUUUUCAGAGUAUCUAUCUUGGCUCAACCAAGACUCCACAGGUCACUCUCAAGGUAAGUAAGUAAACAACUGAGUCAGAAAUAAUUGGCCAUGAAGGAUAUGUUUUCUAAUUC
rnacentral:lncRNA from 1 species